GCAGGCAGCAACUGAAAACUUGGGGCAAAUUUAGGCAAAGUCUGGUCCGAAUCCACAUGAAUCUCUGAAAUGAAGGCCCCACCACAUCUGAACAGAAACAAGGAUGAGGAGAUCGGGCUCCGAAGGAAAAGGUUUCACAUUUUUCUGCAUUUCGUCUGUGCAGAGAUAAGAACUGGAGGGCCAGCAGAGCACAAUAGGCUAUUCUUGUAAUUCAGAUGUGACUGGGCACCCUUCCUCUCAGAGUCUGAUUUGGGGGUUGGUGUUCUAACACCACCGGUGUGAGAUGGUACAGCUCCCAUCGCAGAGGUAAGUGUGGAUAUAGACCAGGGAUUGGCAAGCUUCCAUAAAGGGCCAGAGAGCGCAUGUUUUUGGCUUUGCAGGCCAUUUACAGCUUUACCAUUGUGUUUGUAGCACAGAAGCUGCCUUAGCAAUAGGUAAAUGAGUGGAGGGGCUGGGAUGUGAUAGAACCUUAUUGACAAAAGCAGGUGGCAGGUCGUAUCUGGCCCACCCACUGUAGUGGACUGACCUCUGAUCUGGACUGUGCUUUGCCUUAGUUUACUGCCCCCCACCAACCCCCACCCUUGGCGGGGGCAGCAGCUUCAAAGGGGGAAAGCCCCUAGCCUUAAUUGUUCUUUGUUAGAAAAAAAUACAAAUUAAGGUAGACUAAAAGAAACUUAAAUACAGAGAACAAACUGAGGGUAGCUGGAGGGCAGGUGGAUGGGGGAAUGGGCUAAAUGGGUGAUGGGCAAUAAGGAGGACACUUGUGGGGAUGAGCUCUGGGUGUUACAUGUAAGCGAUGAAUUAAUCACUGGGUUCCACUCCUGAAGUCAAGACGACACUGUACGUUAAUGAACUUGAAUUUAAAUUAAAAAAAAAUGGUAAAAAGAAAGAUGCUUUCUCCACAAAAAAAGAUAGACUAAUUCAGAAAGUUUAUACCAUAUAAAAGAAAAAUUUUUAAAAAAAAGUCUUUUUUUAAGUUCACGUUUUUUUUUUUUAAAAAUUUAAAGCCAAGUU
rnacentral:lncRNA from 1 species